UGGACCUACUGUGAGUUGGACAUCAGUCAA
rnacentral:piRNA from 1 species